ensembl:lncRNA
AAACUAAGACUGCAAUAGAUUCUUGUAUCACUUGAAUGCUGUUAAAACAAUCAGCGCUUUAUUUACCUUUUAAUAAAACUUGUAGAUUUCCUGUCUAUAAAAAGACAAGAGAUGUGAAGUAUGAGAUGUAGCACAUAUGCUUUUGUUGGACUUCUGCAUCAAAGUGUUACUCAGUCUACAGUACAUGGGUAGCAAAUAUUAUAUAGUCCUUAAUGCAAAAAUAAACCAUUAUAUCAAAACAUUUAAAGAUGCACUCCUGGAAACUCCUGUUUACUCUGUUACUGAAGCCUGAUUUGUUCACGAUUGUGUAGCUGCACAAACCAGUGGCAUUCUAGCCACUUGCAAGAGGAUUAGGUAGAAUUUAGGUGAACAAAAUCCUUGCCUGAAGGGCAGGGACGUCCAAGUAAUAGAUUCUGGCAAAGGUAGAUGACGACGACCAGCCGGCAGCCGCACAAAUCUCACCUAUAGAAAUACCACUGGACUAAGCCCAGGAGGAGGCAGUUCCUCUGGGUUAGUGAGCAUAUAGCUGUGUUUCGGUUGGAGGAAGACUCUACAGUCAUUAGGCCCAAACUCAAGACAGGAAGCACUGACUGACAAUGUUUGCAAGUCACCCACUCCUUCAGCAUCAGGCUGAGCUUCUUCCUCUUCUUUGGCUUCUUGAUUGCAGAGUCAGCAAAGAGAUGGUCUUGUCGCUGAAGGAGAAAAAUUCUGAUGAAAUGGUGCUCUGAGCCGGCUUAUUUAGUGGUCGGCUCCUCCCCUUCUGGCAGGCUAAUUCUUUGUAAUAAUUUGAAGUAUAAUAAAUAUAGUAAAUAUAUAUAUUUUGUUUUAAGUAAAUCAUUUUUUUUUUCAGUGAAGCAAACAAUUUAAUAAAUGAAUGAAUGAAUAUAAUAAAAAAAAGAAAAAAAAACACAAUCUUGUUUUUCCUGUUUAAGUUUAUUUUUCUAAGCCCACUGGGGGGAAAAAAUAAGUUGUUUGUUGUGUCUUGUUUGAAGCAUAAACUCACUUAAUUUUAAUACUUUUUGGCCUGGUUUCACUGACAGGGCUUAGAUUAAGCCAGGAUUAGGUUAUAGUUCAAUAAGGGCAUUUAAGUAGUUUUUAUAAAUGUAAUUAGCCCCGUCAGAAUUUUUAAUAGCCCCAGUUUAGCCAUCUAAACAUCCCCACCCCACCCACCACCGCCGCCAGAUGAGAUGGGCCGUUUUUUGAUAUAGAAAACAAGAGUGCAGGUUGGAAACCAUGUCUCUGAGGGGGCCAAAG